rfam:Triticum urartu cultivar G1812 contig856423, whole genome shotgun sequence.
AGAAUACUCCCUCCGUCCAGAAAUAUUUGUCAUCAAAAUGGAUGAAAAUGAAUGUAUCUAGAACUAAAAUACAUCUAGAUACAUCCAUUUCAAUGACAAAUAUUUCCGGACGGAGGGGGUACAUA